AUACGGAGGGUGCAAGCGUUGUCCGGAAUUAUUGGGUGCAAAGGGUGUGCAGGCGGGGCGGUAAGUCAGGGGUGAAAGUCUACGGCUCAACCGUAGGAUGGCCUUUGAUACUGUCGUCCUUGAGUCCCGGAGAGGCCAUUAGAAUUCGUGGUGUAGCGGUGAAAUGCGUAGAUAUCACGAGGAAUACCGGAAGCGUAGGCGGAUGGCUGGACGGCGACUGACGCUCAGGCACGAAAGCGUGGGGAGCGAACAGGAUUAGAUACCCUGGUAGUCCACGCUGUAAACGAUGGAUGCUCGGUGUUCAACUCCGUUAGCGGGUUGAGUGCCCAAGUUAACGCGAUAAGCAUCCCACCUGGGGAGUACGCUCGCAAGAGUGAA
rnacentral:rRNA from 1 species